UACGGAGGAUGCAAGCGUUAUCCGGAAUUAUUGGGCGUAAAGCGUCCGCAGGUGGCACUUCAAGUCUGCUGUCAAAGACCGGGGCUUAACCCUCGGAAAGGCAGUGGAAACUGAAGCGCUAGAGUGUGGCAGGGGUAGAGGGAAUUCCCGGUGUAGCGGUGAAAUGCGUAGAGAUCGGGAAGAACAUCGGUGGCGAAAGCGCUCUACUGGGCCAUAACUGACACUCAGGGACGAAAGCUAGGGGAGCGAAUGGG
rnacentral:rRNA from 1 species